AAGUCGUAACAAGGUUUCCGUAGGUGAACCUGCGGAAGGAUCAUUAAAGAGUAUUAAGGUUAUUGUCUAUUCUCUCUUGAAUAGAUCAAUGCCUUUUUCCUUCUCUACCCCUUAUAUAUUUCUAUUUCCAGUUGCUUUGGUGAUGGUCAUUCUGAUCAUUGCCAAGGGAAAUUUAUAAACCCUUUUUGUUAUCCAAUAAUUGGUUACUUAUUGUCUGAUUUUUAAUGCUGAAAUAGUAUUUAAAACUUUCAACAAUGGAUCUCUUGGUUCUG
rnacentral:misc_RNA from 1 species